UGUAAUUUCAACUCCUAAUUAAGGGGUAAUUGUUUGAAUGGAUGUAUUGCAUUUAAAAAAAAGCCUUUCUGAUCCGAUUGUUUUACUAUAGACAAUGAAUACAAUGAAAGGAAUGCACCCAAUAUUAAGGGGGGUAUUGAUGUAAAACAGAAGUUUUUAUUAUCAGUUUAACUACAAAAAACUGUAAGUAAAUUCAACUAAUCUUCGAUUGAUCCGAUCGUUAUGUAAAAAUUUGAUAUUUAUACCGUCUGCAAGGAUAUCACCUAAGAUACACUGAAAAUGUUUAUUUGUAGGACGAAGCGACAAUGGUAUGAUGAAGAAGCGUUCAAGCGUAAAUAUUAAGGCUUUGAAAACCGUCCACACACACACAGUAACACACACACACAGUAACACACACACAGUAACACACAAUGCCAGAGACAAGGAAGCGCAGUACUUAAAUGCUCACACACAAGGAUACAUCAUAUAAAGUAAUAGUGUAUAGUCGAAUGAGCAUUGACAAGACCAUCGUGCUCUCCAACUACACACACACACACACACACACACACACAUGCGUACAUUUUGGCAUAUUUGUAUAAACUUUUUUGAGAAUGCCAAAAACGAAAAAUAAAAAUGAAACUACAGAAAUGUGUUUUGGCCAACAGACAGGCUAAAAAAGAGCAGAUAUAUCAUUGAGAGAGAGAGUGAGAGAGAGAUAGGACAGCAGAAUGAGAGUGAGACAGCACUAUGGUAGGGGAACAGCAGGUAAAAGAGCGAGCGAGAGAAGGCGAGGCGUUUGUCUGGACCACCGAUUGGUCAGGCCAGACUAAAAAGUGAUAUAAAUCAUACAUAUAAAAAUAAAAUAACUUGCCAAAAUAAUUAAGUUUAAACAUAAUACAUAAUAACAACAAGAACACCAAAAAAAAAAAUGAUAAGAAAGCAACAACUGUGCAUUCUUAAUAACUAAGGAUGCGAUUAGUCUAUGCC